CCUACGGGUGGCAGCAGUGGGGAAUAUUGGACAAUGGGCGAAAGCCUGAUCCAGCCAUGCCGCGUGUGUGAAGAAGGCCUUCGGGUUGUAAAGCACUUUCAGUGGGGAAGAAAGCCUUGGGGCUAAUACCCUCGAGGAAGGACAUCACCCACAGAAGAAGCACCGGCUAACUCCGUGCCAGCAGCCGCGGUAAUACGGAGGGUGCGAGCGUUAAUCGGAAUUACUGGGCGUAAAGCGCGCGUAGGCGGUCUGAUAAGCCGGUUGUGAAAGCCCCGGGCUCAACCUGGGAACGGCAUCCGGAACUGUCAGGCUAGAGUGCAGGAGAGGAAGGUAGAAUUCCCGGGGUAGCGGUGAAAUGCGUAGAGAUCGGGAGGAAUACCAGUGGCGAAGGCGGCCUUCUGGACUGACACUGACGCUGAGGUGCGAAAGCGUGGGUAGCAAACAGGAUUAGAUACCCUAGUAGUC
rnacentral:rRNA from 1 species